ensembl:lncRNA
GUUCUGUCUAGUACUGUCUGGUACUGUCUGUUCUGUCUAGUACUGUCUGGUACUGUCUGGUACUGUCUGUUCUGUCUAGUACUGUCUGGUACUGUCUAGUACUGUCUGGUCUGUCUGGUCUGUCUGGUCUGUCUGGUACUGUCUAGUACUGUCUGGUACUGUCUGGUCUGUCUGGUCUGUCUAGUACUGUCUGGUACUGUCUGGUCUGUCUGGUCUGUCUAGUACUGUCUGGUACUGUCUGGUCUGCCUAGUACUGUCUGGUCUGUCUGGUACUGUCUAGUACUGUCUGGUACUGUCUGGUACUGUCUGUUCUGUCUGGUCUGUCUGGUCUGUCUAGUACUGUCUGGUACUGUCUGGUCUACCUAGUACUGUCUGGUACUGUCUAGUACUGUCUGUUCUGUCUGGUCUGUCUAGUACUGUCUGGUACUGUCUAGUACUGUCUGGUCUGCCUGGUACUGUCUGGUACUGUCUGUUCUGUCUGGUCUGUAUGGUACUGUCUGGUCUGUCUGGUACUGUCUGGUACUGUCUGGUCUGUCUGGUCUGUCUGGUCUGUCUAGUCUGUCUGGUACUGUCUGGUACUGCCUAGUACUGUCUGGUCUGUCUGGUCUGCCUAGUACUGUCUGGUACUGUCUGGUCUGCCUAGUACUGUCUGGUACUGUCUGGUCUGUCUGGUACUGUCUGGUACUGUCUGGUCUGUCUGGUACUGUAUGGUCUGUCUAGUACUGUCUGGUCUGUCUAGUCUGUCUGGUCUGUCUAGUACUGUAUGUACUGUAUGGUCUGUCUAGUACUGUGCUGCCAGCUCCCACACUAUGACAGAUCAGCAAAGGGCGCUGUACGAAAACCAACCAUCACAAACACACACUAUCAUUAAGAGUCAUUAACUCUCACAGGGACUAAAUGUUACAGCACGUGUUUAAAUGUGGUGCUGCUAUUUACAGUGAGUUGAUUACAGGAAUCAUUAUCUUCUCCACUUUCCAAAUCAGCAGAUGGCAUCAUGACCGUUGCUGUAGCUAGAACACUAUAUUCCCAGGGACUCAUCAACAGAUGGCAUCAUGACCGUUGCUGUAGCCAGAACACUAUAUUCCCAG